UACAGAGGUCUCAAGCGUUGUCCGGAAUUAUUGGGCGUAAAGAGCGCGUAGGCGGCCCGGUAAGUCCGCUGUGAAAGUCGGGGGCUCAACCCUCGAAUGCCGGUGGAUACUGUCGGGCUAGAGUGCGGAAGAGGCGAGUGGAAUUCCUGGUGUAGCGGUGAAAUGCGCAGAUAUCAGGAGGAACACCAAUUGCGAAGGCAGCUCGCUGGGACGUAACUGACGCUGAGACGCGAAAGCGUGGGGAGCAAACAGG
rnacentral:rRNA from 1 species